UACGUAGGGUGCGAGCGUUGUCCGGAAUUACUGGGCGUAAAGAGCUCGUAGGUGGUUUGUCGCGUUGUUCGUGAAAUCUCACGGCUUAACUGUGAGCGUGCGGGCGAUACGGGCAGACUGGAGUACUGCAGGGGAGACUGGAAUUCCUGGUGUAGCGGUGGAAUGCGCAGAUAUCAGGAAGAACACCCGUGGCGAAGGCGGCUUUCUGGGACGGUACUGACGCUGAGACGCGAAAGCGUGGGGAGCGAACAGG
rnacentral:rRNA from 1 species